GCCUUCCCGGUGAGCCUGUGGGUUUAAACGGACGCGGUAAAGCGUGCUAAGGUAGCUAAAUUAUGGCCUAUUAAUUGUAGGUCCUGUGAAUGGUUUGACGAGUCUUCAACUGUCUCUAGUUUUUUUGAUGAACUUGAAUUGGAUGUGCAAAUGCUUCCAUGGGUAAGAAAGACGAGAAGACCCCGUGAAGUUAGAAAUUUUGGUUGUUGGUAAGCUUUAUAGGGGGUUAGUUAAACCACCCAUGGGUGGUUUAAAAAAGCGAACAGCGGUAGUUUUGGCUGGGGCAGCAAAGAAGCAAGGCUAGACUUCUUUAGUUUAAAAGCAGGUGUGUGACGACCCACAUAAAUAUAAGUGUGAUUAGCAGAAGAAGUUACUCCGGGGAUAACA
rnacentral:rRNA from 1 species